UUCUCCCCGCAGGGGCGGCGGCCUUGAGAGGCUGCAGAGGCACCCUCCCACGUCCCGCACAGUGCAGUGCCUCCGCAGUCCAGAGGGGAGCUGUGCGCUCGGCUCCGAGCCGGACGGGUUUCGUAAUCGCGUCGCCGCCGCUUCCGCCCUCAGCCGGCCCCACCUCUGCCGGCUCGUCCUCGGCUCCCCCGCCUCGCCGCAGAGCUGGCCCAGGAAGCCCACAUUGGCGGCCACGGAGCAGGGUCCCUUACCCCCACCAGCUGUAGCUGAACGUCUGGAUGGUGGAGAAGAGCAGAUGAUCUGUACUGGACACACGUGGAGAUAUGGCCAUGCCACGCAUGUGCAAACAGAGGUGUACACACAGGAGUGCAGUGAUACAGGACACAGAUAAACAGAAUGUAUACAGCCUUCAGGAAGGAUCUCAAGGGUUCUGAGUCUGAGGAAGACAUAACCUUGUGCCUGCCUGCCCACCUCUCUCUCUGGUCCUGUUCAUCUCUCAGGCUCUGAGACACUGACCUUCACUGCUCAGUUAAAGGUUCCAGGGAUUCCACUUUCUCUGGACCCAUCCAGCUGAGUACACCCAGGGUGGUGUUGUAUCCGGGGAGAGUGAGGAGUGGGUUGUCCAAACACCAGGGAAAGAGCCCUUUGGGGCCUCAGACAGAGGAGUGAAGCUGGAACCAUCAGGGAACAUGAGUGAAUUUUGGCACAAACUGGGCUGCUGUGUGGUAGAGAAACCCCAGCCGGUGAGUCUCCCCACCCCCAUCCUAACCCAAAGAGCAGUCAGUUACUGUGUGCUGUGAGGUAGCCACACCAUCUAGGAUCUGCCAUCUAAAAA
rnacentral:sRNA from 1 species